UGCAAAACUCAGAUAUCUCCCCCUCUACUUAUGUGACUGCAGAGAGGAGGACAGAGGACAGAGGACACACAGUUUAACAUGAUGGACUAUAGGACAGGACUGCUGCUGCUCACUGUCUGCUGGGCAGGUGUUGGUGGUCAGACUCUGACAGAAUCUGAUUCAGUGACUAAAAGGCCUGGAGAAUCUCACAGAUUGACCUGUACAGCCUCUGGAUUCACAUUCAGUAACUACUACAUGGCCUGGGUCAGACAGGCUCCUGGGAAAGGACUGGAGUGGAUCGCUUCUUUCGACACUGGUAGCACCCCGUACUACUCUGAGUCAGUGAAAGGCCGGUUCACCAUCUCCAGAGACAACAGCAGACAGCAGGUGUAUCUGCAGAUGAACAGUCUGAAGGCCGAGGACACAGCAGUGUAUUACUGUGCCAGAAGAGACAGUGAGAGACAGUAACAGGAGAGUCGUACACAAACUACUUCCUCUAUUCAAUACCACCACUUGAACAUUAAAUAGAUCCUUAACUACA